AGGGUUUGAUCAUGGCUCAGAACGAACGUUGGCGGCAUGGAUUAGGCAUGCAAGUCGAACGAAUGCCAGGGUAGCAAUACCUUGGCGGAAGUGGCGAAAGGGGCAGUAAUACAAGGAUAACCUACCCUGGGGAUGGGCAUAGCCGGUCUAACGGCCGGGUAAUACCCAGAGAUUCGGCGAGUUGGCAUCAAUUUGCCGGGAAAUGAAUUUCGCCUCAGGAGGGGUCCAUGAGCUAUCAGCUAGUUGGAGGGGUAACGGCCCACCAAGGCUUAGACGGCUAGCGGGUGUGAGAGCACGACCCGCGCCACUGGCACUGAGACACUGGCCAGACACCUACGGGUGGCUGCAGUCGAGGAUCUUCGUCAAUGGGCGCAAGCCUGAACGAGCGAUGCCGCGUGAGCGAUGAAGGCCUUCGGGUUGUAAAGCUCAAAAGAGGUGAGAAAGGGAAACUUGAUCAAACCUCAGUAAGCUCGGGCUAAGUUCGUGCCAGCAGCCGCGGUAAGACGAACCGAGCGAACGUUGUUCGGAAUCACUGGGCUUAAAGGGCGCGUAGGCGGGUACCCAAGUCUGUGGUGAAAUCCUCCGGCUCAACCGGAGAACUGCCAUGGAUACUGGAUGUCUCGAGGGUGGUAGGGGUAUGCGGAACUAUCGGUGGAGCGGUGAAAUGCGUUGAUAUCGAUAGGAACUCCGGUGGCGAAAGCGGCAUACUGGACCACAUCUGACGCUGAGGCGCGAAAGCCAGGGGAGCAAACGGGAUUAGAUACCCCGGUAGUCCUGCCCUAAAC
rnacentral:rRNA from 1 species